rnacentral:rRNA from 1 species
CAGUAGCCACGGUAAGACAGGGGAUGCGAGUGUUAUCCGGAAUUAUUGGGCGUAAAGCGUCUGUAGGUUGAAUUCAAAGUCUUUUGUAAAAUCUUUAAGCUCAACUUAAAAACCGCAAAAGAUACUAGUUUUCUUGAGUAUGGUAGAGGUAAAGGGAAUUUCCAGUGGAGCGGUGAAAUGCGUAGAGAUUGGAAGGAACACCAAAAGCGAAGGCACUUUACUGGGCCAUUACUGACACUGAGAGACGAAAGCUAAGGGAGCAAACGGGAUUAGAUACCCGUGUAGUCCCUGUCUCUUAUAU